UAAACAUGGCUUGCCUCUCCCGUCCUCCCUUUUACCUCGGAGCCAUCGCUCCGGCGCGGCGGGAAGCGGCGGGAUCCGGCGGCCCCGGGUGGGGGCUGCCUCCUCCCCGCCGCGGCGCCGGAGUUUGCGAGCAGGAAACUCCUCCCGCGGGGGCCAGGGGCGAAGCCGCAGCUGCUGCAGCGCUUCUCCUCGGCGGCGGAGGAGGAGGAAGGUUCCGGUUUCCCCUUCUCGACUGAAAUCACCGCCAGUUUUUCUCCAUCGCUACUGUUCUGCCUUUUUCCACCCGGGGGUUUGUUUUGCCGUGUAAAUCCAUUCAUCGUCCAGAUGCAAGCAUGCUGUUGUAUCAGGUCUCCUCGUUACAUUGCCCUGAUAAAUCAUUGGCAAGAAAAACCAGUGCCGCUGAGAGAAACACUCCAUUACAAGCACUUUUUCCAGGUGUCUUUAAUCAUUGAUGGAUGAUGGGAGCAACCCACUACAGCUUCACAAUGUGUACCAUCCAUUCAGAAGAAGAAAACAGAGCUAGCUCUCCACUAAUACAGACAAAAUGUCGUCCAAAGCAAAAUAAUGCACAUGUGCAGUGAUUUAUUCCUAUGCCAUCCAAAAAGUUUAGAUUAGUCCCAUGUCUCAUUCCAAACCAAAGUAACUUGGGGGGAGGGGGAUUAGAUUUUUUUAUUAGUUCUAUUUCUCCCUUCCUCAUUUGGUUAUAUUCCUUUUCCAUUUUGUCUCCCUAUUUUCAGACUUGCAGGAUAAUUCAGGUUGAAAAGACUCUCAGGAGGUCAUCAAAUAAAACCCUCUGCUCCAUUAGAGCAGGCAGCUGAAGACUUUGUCAAGUUCAGAAUGUCUCUGCAAACACAGAUUCCUUCAUCUUCCCAGGCACCCUUUGCUGGUUCUUCCCUUGCAUAUGCAUAAGCUCAGUUCUAAAACUGUCCCCACCCUAUUUCCACAGUCACUCCAGUUUCUUUAAAUUUGCAGCUAGGAGACAGCAACAACAAUUCCAUGAGAGCAGUAGGAGCCUGGUAACAGCAAGAGAGGAAGUCCAGUACACUUGAAGAAGAAAUUUUUCCUGGAUUUAUGGGAAGAGGAGAAGCAAUCCCAUUGACACUUCACUUCUAGUUGUCUACAACUAAUAAGCAGUAUGAAGGAAAAGCAAAAUUUUAUCAGUGAGACAGCAAGAGAAAGAACUGGUAUAGCCAAUAACUUAUUUGCAGAUGCCCUUUUUCCUCAAUUGAACCAAAUUCAAUGGAAACAUUUCACUUCCAGGUGAAAUCAUUCAGGGAAGUUGCUGAUGGGUAGAAGGUUGGUCCCUUUCUUCACCCCCUCAGUAUUUUCUGUGUCAAUACAAUUUUUUCUGUUUGCUUUCUGUCACUUGCAAGUCCUAUCAGAUCUCUGGACAGUGGCAGGUUGUAGGAGAAAUUCCUGGAAACCUGAAAAUAGCAGCAAGUUGUUUUUCUACUAUCCAUAUACUCAUCCCUCUGUGUCUGUGUGACACUUUCUCUGUAACACAAUUUAUGUUCAGGCUAGCUGGCCUGCUGCUACAGCUUUCAGUUAAAAAGCACAGGAGUUAUCUGGUAGCUUUAUCUUUCUGCAGCUGUUGUCUUUUUCCAUCAUACCUGACCCGCUGGUGUUGAAAGAUGCCUCUUGUCUGAAAAGCUCUGAUA